ACAUCUCUCGUUCCGUCCCCUGCACGUUCAAAUCCGCCUCGUGUGACGUCACGACUCACCUGUGGGUGGGUGUAGGAUCUGGGAUUAGCUGUAGCCGCAGGUAAUAGCCAAACAUUGGGAGACUCUCGGCAACGCAAGACUGUAAACUUCUUUUCACUGAAAGACAAACGACGCCGAUGAGCUGAGCUGUGUUUUCCCCCUCGGACUGUGGGACUCUGUUUUGGCUUUGCAAACUUUGUUGAAGUACACAAACCUAAAAAUCUGUAGGCGGUUUUGUUUUCUCCGUUUGGAGCGUUAGCGUAGUUUUUUUUCUCUCUCUUUCGCUCUAAGACUUCCGCACUUUGCUCGUUGAACAAGUUGUCUGGGAUAAAACUGUUUCCUCUUAUGCGGUCCCAGGCUUUUUGAGCCAUGCCUGGCCACAGCACAGGGGCUCCUCGCCACAAGUACCCCAACCCUAGCUCUAGGGCGGACAACCAUCGACCCAACCGGACUAUAUCCAGGGACAGCACGACCAGCCAAGACUCCUACAAGGAUCCUCAUGGGGAGCAACUACGUGACCACUCCCGCUAUUCAGAGGGCAGGUAUGGUCGAGGAAGAAGCCACCCUCGAAACGGCACUGGAAGGAGUUCAGAGACAAUAGGAUUUAUUCCGGGGUCGGCAGACAGCGUGCCGAGCAGCAGGCAGUCCUGUGGCUCCUGUGCCUCCAUGGGCUGGAGUAGCUGUAAGGCUCUUAUCUGUUGUGUUCUCACCUGUGGAUUUUAUGGCACCCGGGAGCCCUGCCUCCCCGUUAACGAGAGCUCCACAGACCAUACCCCCAAAACGGGCGGUGACCCUCGACCUCCUAACGGCAUAGCUGUGAAAAACCCUGGCAUGUCUUUGGAGCCCAAUAAUAAGCAGCCCAAGACCUCCAGAUUGCCCCUGAAUGACAGUUUCCGUUACCCAGAUGUGCACAUAGCAGGUCAGAAGGUAAAGUACCCAGUUGCUGCCUCCAAACGGGGUCGCACAUCAGGUAAAGGGGAAAGCCAGCGGCCGGUCAGCAACACCAGCCUUCUAUCCUACGAGGACUACGACUUGGAUGAGCAGAGCGACAAAGACAUUGACUCUCUGAUCACCAAGAAGCUGCUUGAGCUUUACGCCCUGCAUCAGAUCGACCAGCUGGCCAAGUGCACCUCUGAUUCCUCCUUCUCCCGCAAGACCAACGAGAUCAGCGAGCUCAUCUACAGCAUCGCUCAGGACUACAACCUGGAGGAGCAAGAGGCCGAGUGCAAGCUGGUGCACGGGGUCAUCCGCAUCAGCACGCGGAAGGGCAAAAGGAAGAAGGACUACCUGUCAACUGGGCAGCGUCCUAACGGCAGGAGUGACGGGACCCUCCCCGACAGUGGCAACGAGACCAUGACAAACACCUUCAUGAGCAGUGAUUAGUCUGUUGGAACACCGGCUGUGCUGAAGCUCUUUUGUUUGCCUCGUAGCUGCGAGCUCUAAAACGCCAGGUAUUUUACGUGCAGUAGCCUCAUAACAAUCGCUUAAUCUGAGGCAAGUCGAUGCAGUUCCAGAGGUGAAAGUGUCAGAGCAGACGCCAUCAGACGAGCUGGCGAGAAAGAUGAGAAAUUACAGCGGGCGAACAUAUUCCUCCAGCACUAC